ACGGGUGAGUAACACGUGGGCAACCUGCCCUUGAGACUGGGAUAACUUCGGGAAACCGGAGCUAAUACCGGAUAAUAUAAGGAACCUCCUGGUUCCUUGUUGAAAGAUGGUUUCGGCUAUCACUUAAGGAUGGGCCCGCGGCGCAUUAGCUAGUUGGUGAGGUAACGGCUCACCAAGGCGACGAUGCGUAGCCGACCUGAGAGGGUGAUCGGCCACACUGGGACUGAGACACGGCCCAGACUCCUACGGGAGGCAGCAGUAGGGAAUCUUCCACAAUGGACGAAAGUCUGAUGGAGCAACGCCGCGUGAGUGAUGAAGGCCUUCGGGUCGUAAAGCUCUGUUGUUAGGGAAGAACAAGUGCGAGAGUAACUGCUCGUACCUUGACGGUACCUAACCAGAAAGCCACGGCUAACUACGUGCCAGCAGCCGCGGUAAUACGUAGGUGGCAAGCGUUAUCCGGAAUUAUUGGGCGUAAAGCGCGCGCAGGUGGUUUCUUAAGUCUGAUGUGAAAGCCCACGGCUCAACCGUGGAGGGUCAUUGGAAACUGGGGAACUUGAGUGCAGAAGAGGAAAGUGGAAUUCCA
rnacentral:rRNA from 1 species